GCGGUAACAGGGGGUGCUUGCACCCCGCUGACGAGCGGCGGACGGGUGAGUAAUGCAUAGGAAUCUGCCCGAUAGUGGGGGAUAACCUGGGGAAACCCAGGCUAAUACCGCAUACGUCCUACGGGAGAAAGGGGGCUUCGGCUCCCGCUAUCGGAUGAGCCUAUGUCGGAUUAGCUAGUUGGUGAGGUAAAGGCUCACCAAGGCGACGAUCCGUAGCUGGUCUGAGAGGAUGAUCAGCCACAUCGGGACUGAGACACGGCCCGAACUCCUACGGGAGGCAGCAGUGGGGAAUAUUGGACAAUGGGGGGAACCCUGAUCCAGCCAUGCCGCGUGUGUGAAGAAGGCCCUCGGGUUGUAAAGCACUUUCAGUGAGGAAGAACGCCUGGUGGUUAAUACCCAUCAGGAAAGACAUCACUCACAGAAGAAGCACCGGCUAACUCCGUGCCAGCAGCCGCGGUAAUACGGAGGGUGCGAGCGUUAAUCGGAAUUACUGGGCGUAAAGCGCGCGUAGGUGGCUUGAUAAGCCGGUUGUGAAAGCCCCGGGCUCAACCUGGGAACGGCAUCCGGAACUGUCAAGCUAGAGUGCAGGAGAGGAAGGUAGAAUUCCCGGUGUAGCGGUGAAAUGCGUAGAGAUCGGGAGGAAUACCAGUGGCGAAGGCGGCCUUCUGGACUGACACUGACACUGAGGUGCGAAAGCGUGGGUAGCAAACAGGAUUAGAUACCCUGGUAGUCCACGCCGUAAACGAUGUCGACCAGCCGUUGGGUGCCUAGCGCACUUUGUUGGCGAAGUUAACGCGAUAAGUCGACCGCCUGGGGGAGUACGGCCGCAAGGUUAAAACUCAAAUGAAUUUGACGGGGGCCCGCACAAGCGGUGGAACCAGGUGGUUUAAUUCGAUGCAACGCGAAGAACCUUACCUACUCUUGACAUCCUGCGAAUUUGGUAGAGAUACCUUAGUGCCUUCGGGAACGCAGAGACAGGUGCUGCAUGGCUGUCGUCAGCUCGUGUUGUGAAAUGUUUGGGUUAAGUCCCGUAACGAGCGCAACCCUUGUCCUUAUUUGCCACCGCGUAAUGGCGGGAACUCUAAGGA
rnacentral:rRNA from 1 species